AAAAUCGUGCAAUUCACUAAAUCUACCACCAGAAAAACAUGAACCACUUCAGAAAAUCGUUGGUUGGGUGAAACGGUAAAUUGUCCGUUAGUUUACUGCGUGAAGAUGUCAGGUCGCAACGCAUUGGUCCAUCGGCGCACCUUCCAGAACGCCAACCAGGUGGUGGAGUUGACCACACGCACCAUUCCCAAGGCUCAACACCACCAGCGAGGACAUCAACACCAAUCACCACCACCACCACCACCUUUCGCUCGUAACUACUGCAACAAAAAACAAGAACAAGAACAACACCACCUUGAAAUACACCACCACUCAACACCAUUCACCACCACCACCAACACCACCAGGGUGCUCUAUGAAGGGUUUAGUGUCCAUGUCGUCAAGUCCAUCUCCCUCAAUCUGUUCUGGGACCAUUUUAGUUGCGGUUCUCUGUAUCCUUUCCAACUCCACAUACUCCACCACUUCUUCCCGCAAGCUGUUCCAUGUGUUAACACUUCUAUGUGAAAAACUUUACUUUUUCCAGUCACUUAAACAGGCUCCUUUAUUAAGUUUCCUUCCGUGUCCUCUCAGCCCCUGUGUUAGUGAUGCUAAGAAGAGAUCAUCUCUAUCCACCUCAUCAAACAGGGGGCUUCGUGGUGCAGUGGUUAGCACACUCGGCUCACGACCGAGAGAGCCCGGGUUCGAUUCCCGGGCGGAGUGGAAAAAUUUGGGCGGCUUUUCUGACACCCUAUGCCCCUGUCCUCCCAGCAGUGAAUGGGUACCAGAUUGGCUACAGUGAAGGUCGUGGCAGAGUGUACUCAAACUCCUACUGUGAGCUACUCCUGAUGCCUGCGCCCUCACCACCCCUGUGAAGGACGCCCAGCUGACCCAACCCUCCUCGUGUGCCCCUGAGAGCUCCCUGCAGCACAGCGAGUCUCUUCUUGGACGGCUCAGAGGCACAGAAGAUGUAGCCAGACUUGCCGGCCAAACCCGAGGGUGUGUGUUGAUGCUGGGACCAAGAAGAAGAAGAAGAAGAAGAGGAGGAAGAAGAUGAUGACAACAGAAGAUCAGAAGACGAAGACGAGGAGGAGGAGGAAUGGAAGAAGAGUACACACACAUACACAUAUGACAGACACCUUUUUAGAUAUUUUUCAUUUUUAUUAGUCCAUACAACAUACAUUAGCUAUAUACAUAUACAACAUAUGCAUAACUAUAUACAUUAGAUCAUAGAGUGAGUGAGAGACUCGAGAGGUGCCCCCCCCCCCCUCUCUCUCUCUCACCUCACCACAGCUCACAGGACCCCACAGAUGUAUCCCCCACAGACACAUACCCCCCCAGCCUCAUGAAGGACCCCCUCCUCCCUCCCUCCCCCCCUAGCCAACAUAGCCUUAUCAAUGUUUGUGUUUUUUUCUAUUAAUAAAAAGUUAAUUUGUAA